rnacentral:rRNA from 1 species
UACGUAGGGUGCAAGCGUUGUCCGGAAUUAUUGGGCGUAAAGAGCUCGUAGGCGGUUCGUCGCGUCGGCUGUGAAAACCUGAGGCUCAACCUCAGGCCUGCAGUCGAUACGGGCGGACUUGAGUACUGCAGGGGAGACUGGAAUUCCUGGUGUAGCGGUGAAAUGCGCAGAUAUCAGGAGGAACACCGAUGGCGAAGGCAGGUCACUGGGCCGCAACUGACGCUGAGGAGCGAAAGCAUGGGGAGCGAACAGG